rnacentral:rRNA from 1 species
AAUAUUGCACAAUGGAGGAAACUCUGAUGCAGCGACGCCGCGUGAAUGACGAAGGCCUUCGGGUCGUACAAUCCUGUCCUUGGGGACGAUAAUGACGGUACCCAAGGAGGAAGCCCCGGCUAACUACGUGCCAGCAGCCGCGGUAAUACGUAGGGGGCGAGCGUUGUCCGGAAUUAUUGGGCGUAAAGGGUGCGUAGGCGGCCUUUUAAGUCAGAUGUGAAAGGCUACGGCUUAACCGUAGUUAGCAUUUGAAACUAAAAGGCUUGAGUGCAGGAGAGGAGAGUGGAAUUCCUAGUGUAGCGGUGAAAUGCGUAGAUAUUAGGAGGAACACCAGUGGCGAAGGCGACUACCUGGACGAAAACUGACGCUGAGGCACGAAAGCUAGGGGAGCAAACA